CCGGUCAAUAUUAACAAAAUAUUGACCAGUCAAUAUUUUUCGGACGAGCUAAUAUUACAAUUAUUGACUAUUCGACUAUAUAGAGUUAUAUAGUGAGAAUAUACUACUGAAUAUAACAAUGUUUUGUAUGAUACAAUAUUAUAUUAUGUGUCAAAUAUGAUAAAAUAUCAUACAAUAUUAUAUUAUACAAUAUGAUUUCAAAGUUACAAUACUGUUGUGUAUUGUGUGAUAUGAUAUUAUAUCAUAUAAUACUAUAUUAUAUAUAAUAUGAUAUUGUAUUGUGUGAUCAAAUACAAUUGAUCGUGACACAAAGCAAAUGCACACGUCUGUAAAGAUUUAUAAAAUAAUAUCUACAAAAAAAUUACCGUAAAUUUUGUAAUAGUUAUACAUUUUUCGGGAACAUCAUUGUCAAAAGCCAUUCAAGAAUAAGGUUUCAAUCGGAAGGAAACAUGUUUACAGAAGAAUAUCCCCCCUGACUUCUUGAAGUCGUGUAUAAGGUCAUAUAUAAAAAAUGGUCUAAUGUAAAAAUGCUGAGUUUUUAUUUUUGUCAUAAGUUUAUCAUAGAUUUUUAGGAAGGAGUACUGUAUUGUGUGGAAUGGUAUAGAUGAUACAAUUAACAGAUCACCCUUUGAUGAAAGAUGGUAAACUUAAUUACUUGAAGGAAAUGUGCACUUUCAAUAUGUGGGAGUGUUUACUACAUGAGACCACAGUUUGAAGGUUGUUGUAAUGAGCUGGAUUUCUUGACGUGUAUAUAUAUUUUAGCCGAUAUGUGGUUAUUUGUUAGUUGUCAUGUAAAUGUAAUUGCUAUUGCAUACAUUGAAAAAAAAGUAGACGUGGGUUCUGAUUUUUUUGGUUUCUGGCAUUGUUUUGCUAUAAUUUUAUAUUCAAAAUAAAAAUGAAUGAACUUUUUUACUUC
rnacentral:sRNA from 1 species